CGCACGCGCAGACCCGGCACGCCUGCGCCUCAGGCCCGGCCCCUCUUCCGUGAGCGCUCGGGAUGUUUGGCGUUACCAAGGAGCUGCUGGGGCCCUUGAGAACGCCGCUGGUCCCCGCGGCAACCCGGGAGGACCAAGCCCGACCGAGGUGGCCGCGGCGAGAGCGGCUGCGAUGAUGUCCAACCCAGUGCAUGGCCUGCCCUUUCUCCCGGGCACGUCCUUUAAGGACUCCACGAAAACAGCAUUUCAUAGAAGCCAGACGCUUGGCUAUAGGAAUGGCUAUGCAGUUGUUCGACGUCCAACAGUUGGGAUCGGCGGGGACCGGCUCCAGGUCAGCCAGCUGUCUCAGGCUGAGCUGGACGAGCUGGCCAGCAAGGCACCAGUCCUCGCGUACGGCCAGCCCAAGCAGGCCCCGCGUGCAGAAUUCAUUCCUGCCUAUGUGGCUUUCGACAAAAAGGUGCUGAAAUUUGAUGCCUAUUUCCAAGAAGAUGUUCCUCUGUCAACUGAGGAACGUUACAGGAUCCGCCGAGUGAACAUUUACUACUAUCUGGAAGAUGACAGCAUGUCUGUCAUAGAGCCUGUUGUGGAAAACUCCGGGAUCCCUCAAGGCAAGUUAAUCAAACGACAGCGCCUAGCCAAGAAUGACCGGGGAGACCAUUACCAUUGGAAAGAUCUAAACCGAGGAAUAAACAUCACAAUUUAUGGCAGAACUUUCCGCAUUGUUGACUGCGACAAGUUCACACAGGUAUUUUUGGAAAGUCAAGGAAUUGAACUAAAUCCACCAGAGAAGAUGGCUCUCGAUCCUUACACUGAACUCCGGAAACAGCCUCUUCGUAAGUAUGUGACUCCAACAGACUUUGAUCAGCUCAAGCAGUUUCUCACCUUUGACAAACAAGUUCUUCGAUUCUAUGCGAUCUGGGAUGAUACAGACAGCAUGUUUGGCGAAUGUCGGACCUACAUCAUUCAUUACUAUCUUAUGGAUGAUACAGUGGAAAUUCGAGAGGUCCACGAACGGAAUGAUGGGAGAGAUCCCUUCCCACUCCUCAUGAGCCGCCAGCGCAUGCCCAAGGUUUUGGUGGAGAAUGCAAAGAACUUCCCUCGGUGUGUGCUGGAAAUCUCAGACAAGGAGGUGUUGGAAUGGUAUACUGCCAAAGACUUCAUUGUUGGGAAGCCACUCACUAUACUUGGGAGAACUUUCUUCAUUUAUGAUUGUGAUCCAUUUACUCGGCAGUAUUACAAAGAAAAAUUUGGAAUCUCCGAUUUACCACGCAUUGAUGUGAGCAAGAAGGAGCCACCUCCUGUGAAACAGGAAUUACCUCCCUAUAACGGUUAUGGACUAGUUGAAGACUCUGCUCAGAAUUGCUUUGCGCUCAUUCCAAAAGCUCCAAAAAAAGAUGUUAUUAAAAUGCUGAUGAAUGAGAACAAGGUGCUUCGUUAUUUGGCUGCACUGGAAUCCCCCAUCCCAGAAGACAAAGACCGCCGAUUUGUCUUCUCUUAUUUUCUAGCCACUGACAUGAUCAGUAUCUUUGAGCCUCCUGUUCGCAAUUCUGGUAUCAUUGGGGGCAAGUAUCUUGGCAGAACUAAAGUUGUCAAACCAGGCUCCUCAGUGGAAAACCCCAUCUAUUAUGGCCCCAGUGACUUCUUCAUUGGUGCUGUGAUUGAGGUGUUUGGCCACCGGUUCGUCAUCCUUGAUACAGACGACUGUGUUCUGAAAUACAUGGAGCGCAAUGCUGCCCGGUAUUCACCAGAAGCACUCCUGUCAAUUCAGAACCGUGUUCGAAAGCAAGAAGCUCCUGCACCAGAAUUGGACAAGUCUUCGUUGCCCCGCGGCAUGUGGGAUCUUAGUUCCCCGACCAGGGAUCGAACCUGCAUCCCCUGCAUUGAAAGGCGGAUUCUUAACCACUGGACCACCAGGGAAGUCCCCAUCAUACUACUUUUAAGUCUGUUUCUAAAACAUUUAUUUUUAGAUGCUGUAACAUAGAUGAUGACAAUCAUGUGACUCCCACAAACACCAGACUUGGGGGUGGUAGUGGUGGUAGAUUUGGCUCUUUGCAGGGAUUUAAUAGACGGCAGCAAGGGAGGCUGAGCCUAGUCGGGGUUCCUGACGUGAGCUCAGCCAUCUGCCAGCCCCUGCAGGCAAGUGUUCAGUUAUUGAUCAGCUCAGCAUCAGAGCUGUUUGUCAUCAGAUGCUUCCCCGACUUCACCAAGUGAGAACUUCGGUCGCUGAGGUAAGACCAUUCGAGAAUAAACACCACAUCCAUCCAUCUCCUCUCUCCAUAGCCAGCAAACGGAAGAGGAUCCAGGUGUGCAGGAACUGGAGGCCCUGAUAGACACGAUCCAGAAGCAAGGGAAAGAUCGCCUGUGCAGGGACAACAUCCGCAAGAUGUUUCAAAUUUAUGACAAAGAAGCUUCAGGACAUGUGGACAGGGAGACGUUCUUUAAAAUCUGUGACUCUUUUCACCUCCCAGUUGACGAUUCCUUGGUUAAGGAGCUCAUCAGGAUGUGCUCUCACGGAGAAGACAAGAUUGACUACUAUAACUUUGUCCGUGCUUUCUCCAACUGACCUGCUGAGGACAGAACGCAGCACAGUAUUUUGAGGUUGGGCCUACGUAUACCUGUACUCUUCAUAGAGGCAUUUACAGAGCUCUUGAAAUCAUAUUUCCUUUUUGGUUCUUUUACCGCUGAAGUCUAAAUUAAAUUGGAUCUUGUAGGA